GGGGAAAUGGCCGAGUGGUUAUGGCGCUGUGUUUAGGCCGCAGUUCUCACGAGCGUGGGUUCGAAUCCCACUUUCCUCA
rnacentral:tRNA from 1 species